rnacentral:lncRNA from 1 species
GCCAUCUCGAUCGACUGGUCCAGAUCACGAACUUUCAAGGUCACUGCAUUAAAAUGGUUGAUAAAGGCAUGGAUCGACUCGCCCUCCCUCUAUUUAAUGGUGUGGAGAUAAUCGGACCACUUCUGCUGUUAUCGACUACUGACAAAGUGACCGAUGAAAGCUCGACACAGCUCUUUGAAGAAGUGAAUAGAGAUCAGCUUCAAGCUUGAAUACCACUAUCGAGCAGUCUCUUUGAGAGUAGUGGGGAAGGCUCGACAGAGGAUGGCAU